rnacentral:lncRNA from 1 species
UAAAUAUGCUAACAAAAGCAAAACAUACAUAUAAUCCCUCUCAUGAACACCGCACUAAUUAACUAAAGUUGUGUGAUAAACGAAACAAACUUAUUGAUCAGCUCUACAGCUUUUUCACAUUUAAGAUUGUCGAAAUAGAAGCUAUGCCCUUCGCCGUGAGUCUCAAAAAGCUCCACCGUUCCUUUCCACCCACUUUUCUUCAAGUCUUCGUAGUAAUUCAUAGCCACAGGUUUCAAAAAAUCUUUCUCGGCCACAAAUAUCAAAACCCUCUCACACCCAAGCCUGGCCAGAUCCUCUGCGGGCAUUUCAGCCGAGGAUCCUGCAACUCCCCGUUUGUUGGACACAUGUACAACCUCAUCUCAUCUUCUUCAGGACUAGUGCCACCGAAAAAUGGAUGCACCAUAAUAACCCAAACCAACUUUACACGGGGUAACCCGAUUGACCCGACCGGAAACGCCAGAGUGUGUGCAAUAUUCCCUCCAGCACUGCCUCCUCCAAUGAAAACUCUCCUAAAAUCAGUGUGAUCAUUCAACCAGGGCUCGGGUCCAUUUCCACCAGCAUGGGACGCCACCCAGUUGAGUGUAGCCCACGAGUCUUCGUAACAAGCGAGUAUGGGUCGAUCCGGGAAGAGCUUGUAUUCCACGGACACCACUAUAGCGUUAGCUUGUGCAGAAACGACACUACAGAAAUUAUGAUACAGCGGACCAAAGGCGGACCGCCUGCAGAAUCCGCCGCCAUGCAAGUAGAAUAAGAGAGGGAGGCACAAUUGUACUUUUUUUUUUUUUAAUUUGGGAAGGAAAUUUCUGUUGAACAUGUGAAAAGUGAAAACAAUGGGAGACACAAUUGUACUUUUUUAGACAAAAUCUCAUGGUAAGCCACACACCCGUAGUAAAAUACUAUGUAAUGAAAAAAAAAAUGAAUUUAAAUACUUUAUAUAAGUUGCAAACUGGAAUCAGAUAUUGGAAUUUAUAUUUCCGGAUUUCGAUUGAACGACUCUCUAUAACUCUUCAAUUAUUGAAAUGUUAAUCAGUUAAUUAUGUUCUGUCAAUACCAAUUCAAUCACAAGUAUGGCGACAUGAAAAAUAAUAAAACAAUCACAAUUGACAAUUAGUAUUUGCUUUCAAUACUAUUUCUGGGGGAACCAUUAUUUUGCUUGAUGAAGGAGAUGAAUUUAUUGGUCAACUCCAAAGCAUUUGUACAUGUAGGGUUUCUCAAAUAAAAGACAUGCUUCUCAUCGAGAUGCUCAACGAGCUCCACUCUCCCUUUCCAUCCACUUUUCUUCAACUCCUCGUAGUAAUUUUUCCCAGCGGGACACAAGUAGUCUCUCUCAGCCACAAAUAUCAAAACCCUCUCACACCCAAGCCUAGCCAGAUCCUCUGCGGGCGGUUUCAUCCUAGGAUCCUGCGGCCCAUCAUUACUUGCACACAUGUACAACCACAUCUCAUCGUCCUCCGUACCGCCAAAAAAUGGGUGUACCAUCGUCACCCCAACCAAGUUCACACCGGGUAGCCCGAUUGAUCCGACCCGGAACGCCAGAGUGUGUGCGAUGUUCCCUCCUGCACUGUCCCCACCAAUGAAAACUCUCCCAAGAUCAGCAUGAUGAUUCAACCAUGGGUCAGGUCGGUUUCCGCUAACAUGGGAGGCCACCCACUUGAGUGCAGCCCACGAGUCUUCGUAACAAGCGGGUAUGGGUCGAUCCGGGAAGAGUCCGUACUCCACGGAUACGACUAUGGCAUUCGCUUGAGAAGAAACGGUGUUACAGAAAUCAUGAUAGGGCUUCGCAAAGGCGGAUAACGUGCAGAAUCCACCGCCAUGCAUGUAGAGUAAGAGAGGGAACUUUUGUUUAUCAGAGUUUGUUACUUUAGGAAUGAAAAUACGGGCGGAUACCGUUGGUUGAGAUGAAAUAACAACAUCUUUGGAUCGGACGCAGCUGAUGGGGUCGGAAGAACUCGAGGCAGCCGUCAUUGUAAACCCGGAAAAAUGGGAACUCUUUGAUAAUUUCUUUAGGGCUUGAACUUGAUGCCGUUAAAGAAUACUGAGUAAAACAAUAAGUAAAAAUAAUAAAGAAAAGAAAAAGGAGUGGUCCCGCGCACUAUUUUGAAACUGGCAUAACGUUUUAUAAUUGGAAAAUGUUAAAUAUGAAGAAGAAUGAGAGAAAACUGAGAAAAUGAAGUAUGUGCUGAGAGAAGAGAGAGAGAGAAAAAGCCGACAGAAGAGAGAGAGAUGAAAUAAAAAAACAGCCAGUAGUUUCUCUUAGUAAGAGAGAGAGUAUGCAUGCAGCUUUCUUCUGAGGUAGAGUAGAGGAUGGCAAACUUGUUUCCCAGGGACUAAACUCUGCUUGUAAUUCGAAGCUUUCAAUCUUUUAUAAUUCACAAUUGCUGUGAAAUGGAUCAGUCACAAACGGCAGCAAUGAAUGACGAAUUCCAUCAAAUAAUGUUCUUACUAAGUUGUGUGUUGUGUUUGUAGAGUUUAAUUGAGGUACAGACAUACUCUAAUAAUAUGCCAUUUUUGUGCAUAUUUAUUUAGUUUGGUAUCAUCACUUGUUUUCACAUUUGUUCGUAUUGUAUAAUCAUACUGUAUUUUAUUAACAAGUUGUUUCUUUCAUAAAUUAAAAUGCCUUAUAAACAUAUUCAUAGUUCCUCUUUACAUUUUAUUUUAGGUUUGUUUUCUUUUUUAACACCAGUUUUCUUUUAAGUCAAUAGCAACUCAAUUUUCUCUCUAUUUAUGUGAGCGGAGUUUGAACUCUAAAUAUUUUAUUUUUAAUACGAGAGAUUUUAUUAAUAACCUUAACAUAUGCAUUACAUCAAGUUCAAGCCUACGAGUAAAUCCUUCCUGUUGCAGUGCCCGUAACAGGAAGGAUUUUAUUAAUAACCUUAACCCAAAAUAUACUAACAAAAGCAAAACAUACAUAUAAUCCCUCUCAUGAACACCGCACUAAUUAACUAAAGUUGUGUGACAAACGAAACAAACUUAUUGAUCAGCUCUACAGCUUUUUCACAUUUAAGAUUGUCGAAAUAGAAGCUAUGCCCUUCGCCGUGAGUCUCAAAAAGCUCCACCGUUCCUUUCCACCCACUUUUCUUCAAGUCUUCGUAGUAAUUCAUAGCCACAGGUUUCAAAAAAUCUUUCUCAGCCACAAAUAUCAAAACCCUCUCACACCCAAGCCUAGCCAGAUCCUCUGCGGGCGGUUUCAGCCGAGGAUCCUGAAACCCUGCGUUUGUUGGACACAUGUACAACCAGGUCGCAUCUUCUUCAGGACUAGUGCCACCGAAAAAUGGAUGCACCAUGAUCACCCCAACCAAUUUUACACAAGGUAACCCGAUUGUCCCGACCCGAAACGCCAGUGUGUGUGCAAUAUUCCCUCCAGCGCUGGCUCCUCCAAUCAAAACUUUCCCAAAAUCAGCGUGAUCAUUCAACCAUGGCUCGGGUCCAUUUCCGCUGACAUGGGACGCCACCCAGUUGAGUGCAGCCCACGAGUCUUCGUAACAAGCGGGUAUGGGUCGAUCCGGGAAAUUCCCAUAUUCCACGGACACCACUAUAGCAUUAGCUUGUGCAGAAAAGACGCUACAGAAAUUAUGAUACCGCGGACCAAAGGCGGACUGCCUGCAGAAUCCGCCGCCACGCAAGUAGAAUAAGAGAGGGAGCUUAUUCUGGUUAGGGUUUUGGGCUUCAUACGGAAUGAAGAUACGAGCAGACACGGGUGGUUCGGACGAAAUAACAACGUCUUUGGAUCGGACGCCGGUGGUGGAGUCAUCGGAGGGUUGGAUUUUUUCGCAGUCGGGUUCGAAUAACUCAACCCGGCCGUCUUUGUAAACCCGGAAGAAUCGGAAUUCUUUUGCAAUUUCCGAGUCGCUUGAUGCCAUGUUUUUAAUUUGAAGCUUCGGUUUGAAAUAUAAUAAUAAAAGAGAAGAAGGGUUCUUUGUGUUUGUGCUGUUUGGUGAAAGAGGGAGAGCCAUCAAACGCUUUAUAAUAUGGGAACGUACGUAGCUACCUAACUUUCAAAGCAUCUUCUCGCCCUACGUGGCUACCUAACUUUCACAGCAUCUUCUCGCUCAUAAGUAUCUGUUUCUUUGACAGUUAUUUUUUCUUUCUUUCAUACCUUUUUCUUAUCAGUAAAUAGUUACGAUGCACGAAUUGACGUUGAUAUUCCUUUUUUUCACACCUUUUUCUUGUCAGUAAAUAUUUACGAUACGCGAAUUGACGUUGAUAUUCCUUUUUUUCAUACCUUUUUCUUAUCAGUAAAUACUUACGAUGCACGAAUUGACGUUGAUAUUCCUUUUUUUCAUUCCUUUUUCUUGUCAGUAAAUAUUUACGAUACACGAAUUGACGUUGAUAUUCCAAUUAUAGAUACGGCCAUACGGGUCCGCCUAAGUUACAGUUAAUCUAAUUUACAGCUGCCCUGUAAAUGAUGUUAUGAUAUAUAUAUUUUUAUUUUGAAAAACUAACAUGUAAAUGGUAAUUAUAUUAAAUUUAAUUAUACAUAUUAUACAUGUAUUAGUUGAUUGUAUUAUCUCUAAUAUAUUCUAGAAUUCUUCCCAACAUUAAUAAGAUUAUUCGAAGGAUUAAUGAAUUAGAAGGAUUAGAAUUUAGUAUUCGACUGCGUUUUUAUUUGAACACUGAAUUAAUAGUUAGGAUUAUUUUUAUUUUUUUCUCUUGUCUAACGGUUUUUACUCUCUUAUUUCUUUUUUCAAUUUGUCUUUAUUUUAUUGGGGUUAGAAACUCAUUCUUUUUUAUUUUUCACACACUAAAAUCACCGGCAGUGGAUCCACCUCAUAACCAGUGGUGGUUUAAACCCCCACUAGAGAAAAUAAUUUCAAAAAAUUAAAAAAAUUACUUGAGUUACUAAUUAUCCCUGUUAAAUUUAUAAAAGUAGCCCCAUAAACUUAUAAGCCCAUAUAAUUUAAGGAUAAAGAUCAUUUCAUGGUAUGAACAUAUUUGAACAUUGAAGAAUCUUUUAACAUUUAUACAUUGUUAUUUGAGUGAUGAUACAGUCACAAACUCUUGUACAAAUUUAUCUUAUACAAACUGAUUUGUCAUUAAUUAAUUAGUUAAAUGAAAAUACAAAAUAAUAAAAAUAGAACAUGUGGGUCAAGAGAUAUUUAAUUCAACCAAUUUUAUCAUGUCACAUCAGUUUGUACAAAAUAAAUUUGUACAAGAGUUUGUCGCUAUAUUAUUAUUCUUUAUUGUUAAAAAAAAUCAUAUUUUUAAAAAUAAUUUUUUCUUUACUUUUCAAAAUUUAUUGUAGGAUAAAGUAAUUUUACCAAAAGAGAUUUUUAAACAAAAUUCACUAAACAGAAAAUAAUUUUAAUUUUUUAAAAUUACUUUUAAGUUUUAAAAGCAUUCUGAAAUGUUAAAUUGAGACCUUAGGCAUAAAACCAAGAAAAAAAAAAACUCUUACGAAAGGCUGACGAACAAAAUAUUUUAACUUUAAAUGAGUAGAAAACAUAAGAAAAGGUAAACAUGUAUCACGGGUGCUAUACGACAGCUCUUUCUACCAAGGCUGUAUCGGGUAAAAUGACCCUACUUCUUUUAAUUAUUAUUUAAUAUUUUUAAUAAUAAAGAAAAAGACAUCAUAAAUAAGGGUCCAGCUAUAGUACUACAAUAAUAUCAUACCACAGCUGAAUUCAUAAUAGUAUUACAUUAUGUGCUGAAUCCAAUGACUGAAUGGUAUGGUAGCCAUAAUUUUGCCCCAAAAAUAAUUGUUGGCCCCGCCAAUUACUUCUUUACAAGACGACAAGAAGACUUGUCUCUAUCAAAGCAAUACUCCUUUUAUUAUUUAAUAUUUUAAUAAUAAAAGUUUAUAAUUAAUUUAGAACUGAUCUAAAAUACAUUACAAUUUUAAUCAUAUAAUUAUAAAAGAAUGUUAUCCAACAUCACUAGAUCCCAUUAAUAAUUAUUGGCCUAACACUAUAAAAGCCAAUUGCUUUUUUGAGGAAAUCGAUUAUCAAACACUCAGUUUGUACGGAGCUCCUCAUGGGUCCGCCUGAGUUACAUUUAAUGUAACUUACCGGCAGCUUGUGAAAUUUUAUCUAACCCCCUAUACUCUAUUAUAAUUUUAUUUUAUUCAUAAAUAUUAUAAACUUUUUGAAUUAUAAAUUUUUGUUUAACUCUUUAUACUCAAUUUUAUUUUAUUAAAAUCUUAGAGUAUGAAUUCGCCCCCAUAAUUUUAAAUUCUCAAAAUAACCUCCAUUUAAUUAAAAAAUAUAAUAAUUAUUAAAUGAAUUAUAAUAAUUAUUAUUAUUUUAUUAUAAUCAUAAAUAUAAUUAUAUUUUUAAAAUGGAUUAUUGUUAUUAUUAAUAACAAUAAUAAAAAGCAUUAUAAUUAAUUAAUCUAUUAACAAUAAUUAAUGAUAAUUAUUAUUAAUAAUUAAUUUUUGAAUACUAAUAACAAUAAUAAUAAUAAUUAAAAUAAAAAUUAAUACUUAUGAUAAAAAUUAAUUAAAGAUUUUAUGACAAUUGGUUUACAAUUUAAUUUAUUCUGAUUUUGACUCUAAAAAAAAUAAACAAAUAAAUGGUAAUACAACUCAUUCUAAUUACGAUUUCUUCAACUUAAGUAAAUAAAUUAUAAUGUUAUUCUGUUUAUUUAUUUAUUUUUCUCUGAAGUGUUUUCUAGAGAGAGAGAGAGAGAGUGUGUGUGUGUGUAGAUUUUUUUAACUUUUGAAAAUAGUCACAUUUUGUAAAAUCUUAUGAUAGGAUAAGAUGUAGAUCAAUUUUAACUCGAUGAAAAUAUAUUGUCUGUUAGAAAAAAAUAAAUUAAAAAUAAAUAUUGGAGAAAAUAUAUUAUUAAGUGAAUAAUAAUAAUAAUAAUUUUAAUUUUAAUUUAUUUACUUAAACUGAAGAAAUCGUAAUUAGAAUGAGCUGUAUUACAAUUUAUGUGUUUAUUUUGUCUUAGAAUCAAAAUCAGAAUGAGUUAAAUUGUAACCAAUUACUAUAAAAUCAUUAAUUAAUUUUUAUCAUAAUUAUUAUUUUGUAUUUUAAUUAUUGCUAUUGUUAUUAUUAUUCAAAAAUUAAUUAUUAAUAAUAAUUAUCAUUAAUUAUUAUUAUUAUUAUUAAUUUAAUAAAAAAUAUUAUUAAUUAAUGUCAAUAGGUUAACUAAUUAUAAUUCUUUUUAUUAUUGUUAUUAAUAAUAAUAAUAAUCUAUUUUAAAAAUAUAAUUAUAUUUAUGAUUAUAAUAAAAUAAUAAUUAUAAUAUAAUUCAUUUAACAAUAAAUAUAUUUUUUAAUUAAAUAUAGGUUACUUUGAGAAUUUAAAAUUAUGGGGGCGAAUUCAUACUCUAGGGUUUUAAUAAAAUAAAAUUGAGUAUAACGUGUUAAAUGAAAGUUUAUAAUUCAAAAAGUUUAUAAUAUUUAUUAAUAAAAUAUAAAUAACAUAAAGUAUAGGGAGUUAGCUAACAUUUCACAGACCCACUGGAAGUUACAUUAAAUGUUACAUUUUACGAACAAAAUUUUUUAAAUUUUAAAUGAGUAGAAAACAGAAGAAAAGGUAAACGUGCAUCACGUGUGCUGUACGGCAGCUCUUUCUACCACGGCUUUAUUGUACCUCUUCUGAUUAUUAUUUAAUAUUUUUAAUAAUAAAGAAGACUUGUCUCUAUCAAGGCAAUGCUCUUUUUAUUAUUUAAUAUUUUAAUAACAAAAGGCCAUGAUCAUUUUGGAACUGAUCUAAAAUAUAUUAUAAUUUUUAUUAUGUAAUUAUGGAAGAAUAUUUUCAACAUCACUGGACUCCACAAAUAAUAAUUGGCUUAAGACUAUAAAAGCCAAUUAGUUUUUCAGGCUAUAGAUUGCUCACUCAAUACUCAUGAUGCCAAUGCAUUAUUGCUUGUCAUUCUAGGCUUGUUUGUGUCUUUGGAAAAUUUUCAUUCCAGCCUGUCCACCCACUAGGUUGCCAUGAAGUAAUAAUAAAUAUAAUAAGUUAUUAUUAAAAAACAAAAAAAUCAGUUUGUACGGAGCUUCUCACAUAAUGCUCUUUACUUCUCAGCUUCCUCUGCGGAUCACAUCGUAGGCCACCCACCCUACCAACCUAUCGAGAGUCGAGACCUGUGCUUUUAGUUUUGUUUCCCAUGACCUCAACAAGGAGAAUCGCCUCUGUCAACUACUAGGUAAUUUUAUCAGUAUUUAAGUCUUGGGUUUAAAAAAUUAAAAAAUAAAAAAAUUAAAAAAAAAAGAUAAAUAAUUUUAAAUUUCAUAAGCAAUGGGCCCACUAUUUAAAUUAUUAUUAUUAGCAGCAGCAGCAACUCUGUAAGGGUAAAGCUACUGAUCUGAGUUUCAUUUUGGAUUCAUCGAGCUCAAUUUUCUGAAUUUUGUUAGCUAAAAUUUUCAAAUUCUCUGAAUUCCCUUGUGAAGCAACCAAGUUCGCUUGGCCAGCAGCCUCUUGAAGCAGCACGCCGUAAUCAAGCUUUCAAAUUUGCUUCAACUUUCACAACUAUCCUUUGUCCUUUCAUUUUUUUUUUAAUCUAUUUUAAAAAGAGAUUAUUAGUUUUCCACCUUUGAAAUCGAUAUAUACUACUUAUCCUCUAUUGUUUUUAUAAUAUCUAAUAAAUAUUUGAUACUAAAUUUUUUUUUUAAAAAAGAAGACAUAAUAUCCAAUAAUCUCAUGACACUAAAAAUUUAAAAGAAAAGAGAGGAAUAAAUAAGUUAUUUAUUUGAUAUUUGAUCUUAGAAAUAAAAAAAAUACAUUUAUUAAAAUAAUUUUUUUUCAAAUUAACAAAAAGCACAACAAAAUUAUCUCAAAAAGCACAACAAAAUUAUCUUACUAUUAAUUUUUUAUUUACCUAAGAUUUAUAUUUCUUAUUUUUAGUAUUUAUUUUUUAUUUUAAAUUUAAUCAUACAAAUUAUUUAAUUUAUAAUAAAUAUAAAUAUAAAUAUCUUCAAAAAUAAUGGCAAUAAUAUAAAGGGAGAAUGCUAAGGUACAGUCUGUGUACCUUACAGCACCCUCACAAAAUGAUCGUGGGCUCCACGUCGGCUCACUUUUCAUUUUACUGUGCAAGCGUGGCUGUAAGGUGCAGAACCUGUAAGUUAGCCUCCCUCCAACAUAAAGUAGUGGUGCUAGGAAUUAUUGAAUAUUACAAUAAUAAUAACAAAAAUAAAUAAUAUACACUGAUUUUAAGUGGAGUGGAGGAAAUUUACCGUCACCCUUUUCAAUUAACAUUACAUCUGGGAUUAUUUUUUGUCACCCCAUAAGAAUCGAUAAAUAUUACCAAGUAUCCUAAUUUUUCGACAACUAUUACUGCACACCGAUUCUGUUAAAAAUUACCAUUAACCUUAGUGAUUUUAUCAGAUAUAUAUUGAAACCACCAUAAUACCUCCACAUAAAUUGAAUUGACUAUAAAUACUGAAAUUAUAAGAAUAUAUUAAUUGGCAGUUGACACUUUAUUUUCUUCAAAAAAAAUAAUUAUAGAAUGUGUAAAAAUAAUGUUAAUUGUAAACUGAAAUAAUUAAAAUUAAAUUAAAGUUUAUUUUUUUGAAGAAAUUAUAUUAAAACCCAGGAGACAUCUCCAACGCCAAGCUUCAGCAUCAUGGCAUUUCCCAGUAUUUAUAGCGAUAACCAAAUAUAUGCUUUGAAAGCAACAAAAACAACAACAUAAACUUCCAAUUUCAUAGCACAAUCAAAAUAAUUUAUUAUAUCAAACAAAUUGUCAAUUACCUAAACCUAAAAAUUAAUAAACAAUAGCAUGGAAAACCCUAAAAUUUUAAAAUUGGGAUUUUAUAGUUGUUAGUCACCAUUGUUGGUGCCGCAUCUGUCAGGGUAGUGCAAUUGGUUAUGUGACUCUUGUGACGUCGAUGGAAGGAAAAAGUGAAAACCCUUGUUGUGGAGCAUGAAUGGAGAAGAGAAGAAAAUGAGCAUUUGUUGCCGAGUAUAAACGGGGGAGAGAAGAUGGAGCGUGAAUGGAGUCAUGGAGAAGGAAGAGAAAAAAUAAUUUUUUCCCUUUUUUCUUUAUUCAUCCGUUUAACUUUACUAUUCUACCAUUAUAGCAGUUAAGUUAAUGGUGAUCGCUAAUGGAAUAAGUGCGCAGCCAUAGUUAUUGAAAGAUUAAAGUGUACAGUAAUAUUUGUCGAUUCUUAAGUUGAUUCUUAGGGGGGGAUGGCGAAAAAUAACCCUCACACUUGGCUCGUUGGUAACCAAAAUGAUUUGACAUUUUCCACAACACAUCAAAUCAAACUUUUCUGGCGUGAUGUCGCACAGAUGAUGCGGUCCUCCUUGUAAGAGCCUCUUACUAGAACUAAUAAUAUUUGCCUUGCCAUCUACUCCUUAAAAGUAUACAAAAUAUUUUCUAGGGAAAAACCUGAUUCAUCCUCGUAUAUGCAUAAUGUUAGGUUUAAAAUUAAAUAGAAGCACUCGAGAAAAAUUAUUUAAAGCUAGCAUAUACCAAAAUGAAGAAUAUAAUUUUGAACCAACCUUUUUUUUUAUUUAAAGCUAGCAGAGGGAAAUUUUUAAAUUGGGAAAAAUAAAAUUUUUAGAUGAAAUUAAAAAAUGAUUCUCUAGAAAAGCUAGGACCUGCUUGGUUCCAAUUGUAAUUGCCUUUCCUUCUUCUUAGUUUUUAGAAUAUAAACUAUUUUUUUUAAAGAGACUCACACUAUCAUGGAUUUACUGGGCGCUCAUCCAUUGCUAUUAUCUUUUUCCCACUUUUCAUCUUUCUUCUUCCAUCAACAGUAAAUAUUUAUUAAUUUAAAUAAAUUAAAUCCAAUGUUUAUUUAACUGUGUUGCGCCUUUUGUAAUUUUCUACGCAUCUAUAUUUAUACAUAAAGAGAUAAAUUAAAUAACUGAUCACCAACUCCAAAUCUUAUCACACCUAUAUAUAUUUAUAAAAUUUUUCUAUGAUGCCGUAUAAAUUUUUAUGGUAUUGAUAAUAGGGUCACUUAUGGGCCCUUGAAUCUAGAUGUUUUAAUUUUCACCAUUUAUUUAAUUUAGUAAAUGAAUAACUAAUUACUUAAUAAUGAAUGGAUAAUAUUUGUGUUUAUGGAUAUAAGUUUAUAUUUUUUAUAAUUUGAUAAAUAUUUUCUAAUCGCCAACAAAAUUAAAUAUUCAAUAUGCAGAUAUACAAAUUAAUUUAUAUGUUUAAACAACGAAUAUGAAUUAUUUAAUAUUCAACAAUACAUGUUAAUUCAAAUCCUUUUUAUAAUUUAUAAUUAUAAAAAAUAUAAUUUUGAAUUCUUAGUUCUAUUUGUUGUCUAUUUUCCUUUUAAAUUGCUCAUUGUCUAAGAUUGAGUUAAUUAAUUGUUGUAAUAUUUAUUAAUCUAGCAACUUUUUUUUUUUGUUGUUGCUGAAGAAGAGAUAAUAAUAAUAGAAUAAAUUAAGAUUGAGUUGUGUUAAUAUUAAAAUACAUAAAAGGAAAUAUAGAAGUUUCAAUAAACUAUAGUUGUUUCUUUUUCAUUAAUCUUUAAAAAAUCUUUUAAAUAAUUGAAAUUAAAUAUUGUCCUAACUAAGUGGCCGUUCAUUUUUUUGACAUAAUGACUUAAUUGAUUUAAUUUUAAUCAGUUAGGUAAUUAAAUCUGUUUAUUUUUACAACUUAAUGAACAAUUUCAGCUAUUAAAUCAUUAAGUUAUUAACUAAUUUUUUUAGCCUUUUACUUAAUAUAAAAAGUCUAAAUGAUAUCAUUAAAAAAUAUUCUCUAAAAUAUCUCUAUCUUAUUAAUUAAUUUUCAUCCUUACCUAAAUAAAAUUUAAUAAUUAACAUUAUUACACAUCUUUUUAUAACUUGUGAUGAUUUAUGGUGGUACACUAUUAUUAUGUUUUAUCUUUUUAUUUUCUUCAAAUUAGCAUUAUUUAUUUUCAUAAUUGUUUUAUGAAAUUUUUCAUAUAAAAACAUCAAAACUAUAAUAAAAUCGAUUAACAUAUAUAAUAUAGAAUAUUAAAGAGUUUUAUUCAAUUGAAUAUGAUUCAGAUUAUGAUAAUUUAUUAUCUUAGUUAUAUUCUUUGAGAUGUUUAUUUUUUAACAUUUAUAAUUUAUAAGGGUAUAAAUGUAAAAAUAUUGAUUUUUAGAUUUUUAAGUUGAAAAAAUAAAAAAACUAAAUAUUUAUUUUCAGCGAUUCAGAUAAAAAAAUAAAUAUAUCAUUUAAAUUUAGACAUUCGGCUCUAUUCAUAAUUUAGAUUAAUUAAGGUCUAUUCAGAUUUCAGACAAAAAACAAGUGCCACCUAACUUUUAACUUUGUGAAUGGUAUAUUUAUUCAUACUACAAUUUUUAUAAGUGUAUCAUAGAGUGACCCACAUAACACAAACACACUCUACAUAUAUAUAGGACAUUGUUUGGUUGGCUACACGUGGUGUGCUCCAUCAUGUGUAGCUAGUUUUGCCCUUUGGAUUUACAUCCAAAUCCACUAGUGGCAGAUCUACUAGUGGCCGAUACUGGGCUACAAACAAAAAAUGAAAAUUCAAGUAUGCUAACUAAAUUUACGAAUAUGCCAUCACUGAUUGAUUAAAAGAGUACCAUUCAAUUUUUUUUAAAAAAAUUACUUAAUUCACUUUUUCUUUGCUUUUAUUGACAAUAAUACUAAAAGCCAAGAGUGAAAAAGAAUUGGUGGUUCCCUUCACGAUUUUUCAUCUUCUUCAUCUUUCAAUUUCUUUACCUUUAUAUCUUUUCCUAUCGAUACACUUUCAGUGUUCCUUCUAGUUUCUAUAGACACAAUAGGGUGUGUAUUUUUAGCCAUGAGCCUUAUCAAGAUAUCACUUUACAAGAAUACGGAAAAUGAGUUUCUUUUAAGUUGUAUAAUUAUUUAUGCUGAAAGAGAAAUUAUAUAUACUAUUGAUUCAGAUUCCAUAAUUAAUGAGUUUUGAAAAGUACAAGCCUUAGUAGUAUUUUUCUUUUGAAUUACAUUUUUAUUUUCUACUUUUUUAUAUAAUUAUUUUAUUUAAAGUAAAUAUUACCUGGGAUAAGGCUUCUAAUAUCCCUGUAUUUUAUACUUAUAUACUUAAGAAAUUUUAAGUGCGCUUCACAACAUUAUUUUUUUAAAAAUACAACAUCUUCCUUUCUCUCUUUACUACCAUAUAGGUCACAGUACAAAGGCCUCCCUAUAUUAUUAUUAUCUUUUUUCAGCUCAAUUUAAUAUUUCCUAUGGAUUCCUCAAACUCAAAGCCAGCAGCUGAAGUAGCCUAGGACGUGUCUCCCAUGUUUAAAAUAUACGAAGACGGCAGAGUAGAGAGGCUUAUAGGCAACAAGAUAGUUCCCCCAUCCUUUGAUCCAAAAACAAGCGUUGAUUCCAAAGACGUUGUGUAUUCACCUGAAAAUAAUCUAUCCGCCCGGCUUUACAUCCCCAAAAACACAAACAAUCCAAACCAUAAACUCCCUCUAGUGGUUUAUAUCUAUGGCGGAGGCUUUUGCAUCUAUUCUGCCUUUCAUCCAAUUUACCAUAAUUAUGUUAAUACCCUUGUCUCUGAAGCUAAGGUUAUUACAGUCUCCGUUGACCAUCGACGAGCUCCUGAGAAUCCUGUCCCUUGUGCUCAUGAAGAUUCAUGGGCUGCACUCAAAUGGGUUGCUUCCCAUGCUUAUGGACAAGGCCCUGAAGAUUGGCUUAACUAUUAUGCUGAUUUUGAGCGAGUUUUUAUUUAUGGGGACAGCGCUGGAGGUAAUAUAGCUCAUCACAUGGUGAUGAGACUCCCUCGAGAAAUUCUCGACGGUUUUAAUGUUGUUGGUAUUGUUUUAGCUCAUACUUAUUUUUGGGGAAAAGAACCUGUUGGUAAUGAGACAACUGAUGCCGAAACUAGAGCUUCCAUAGAGAAGAUGUGGUGAGCUGCUUGUCCUGGUACAAGUGGGUGCGAUGAUCCGCUAAUUAAUCCGUUCGUCGGUUCGAGUCUAGCGAACCUCGGGUGCAAAAGGGUGCAGGUUCAUGUUGUAGAGAAGGAUUUGAUGAGAGAUAGAGGAUGGUUUUAUUAUGAGAAGUUAAAGGAAAGUGGUUGAGGAGGUGAAGCGGAGAUCGUUGAGUCUAAAGGAGAGCCGCAUAUCUUCUAUUUGCUCAGUCCCACUUGUGACAGUGCUGUGGCUAUGAGGAAGAAGAUUGUCCUUCUUCAACGAGAUUUAGACAUGAAUUUCUUAUAUAGGUUGUUCAAAUAAGCUACCGCAAUUGAUCUGCUGGAAAUUACAGCACUUCCAAGGUUAUAACGUUUCUUUUUUUUUUUUUUUUUUUUCCCCUUUACCACGUGGAAGGAGAGGUAUUUUCCUAAAUUCACAUCUGUGAUAUAUAUUUCACACUUAGACUUUGAUUUGGUGUAUGUAUGAUAUGGUUGUAUUGUUGGUUAAAAAUUCUCAAAUUAAAUUGCUUCAAUCUCAAAUUUCAAGUCAAAAUUAUGAAAGAAUUGAUGUUAGCACUCAUGGUCUAUACGGAAUUAACAUAAAAAUCAAGUAUAAACUAAAACAAUAUUCAAACCUUUCUAAGAACUAUAUUCAUUGUAAAUCAAGUUCUUACCAUUGGCUUUUCAUAUUUAUAACAAAUAUUUUUUUUUGGAAAUUCUUAAUGGAUUUUUUUUUUAACUUAACAAUAAUUAAAACACAUACUAACUCCCACCCCCAAACUUAUUUUGAGCAUUGUCCUUAAUAUUUCAUAAUCUAAAGAUAUAAAUACAAAAAGGUGAAAGAGAUAAAGAAAUCAUGAAGAAUAAAACAAAAAGUUAGCGAGAUCACACUUGAGCUGGUUGCAAAAGCUUAAAAGAAGAUGACAAAGAACAAGAAAAUGUUAGAAAAUAAAAAUAUUAGGAAACAAAAAUAAACAAAAGUCCUUAGUAUCAUGCGAAAUAAACGAAAAUUUCUCAAAUAAUGACACUAACAAGUCCUCCAGGAUAAACAAGAAUUUGGUUAUAUACUUAGAGUGACUAUCAAGAAAACAAAAAACAAGACUAUUGAACCUCUUGAGCAUAUGAUCUAUGAAAGAAAAAUGCAAGUGACCUCGAUUUUACCAACCUUUUUCACAAUAGGGUUUGGAUUUGGUAUUAUCUCAAGCAUAUGGCUAAAACCAUUCUCAAAGUGAAUCAUAGGUGCAUAGAACGAGGGACUGCAGCUAUCCAACUUAUGGCUUCUUCAUGUUCAUUAAAAAUCAUUAAUUAAUUUACCAACAUGUUUAUUUUAUUUAGUUGCUAAAAUAACAAAGAAGUUUUCUGAAGAUACUUAAGACAGAGAAAUGGAUGACUCAAGUAAUGGUUUCAAGUCUAAUAACGGUCGUUUUUCUAUAGAUGGAGGAGGUAUAGACUUAGAGGGUGGAAGACAGUCUACUUUAGCUAUCCAUUUAUUAAGAUCCAUUAAUGAGGUAGACUCUGGUAUAGAAUUUACUUCACUAAUCAUAGUAUUCGCAUUUAUGUCGAUGCUAAAAUAAGUUGAAUAAUCUUUUACUAGUCAUCUUCAUUGAAAAGCAUAAAGGAAUUAUUGAUUGUACUCUCUAUUAGAUUGACAACUCCAUCAUCAUUAAAAUUCUCUAUAGUAUAAAGUUGUUUACUAACAAUAAACACAUUGAGUUCCAUAGUCAUAUUCCUAAAUGAAAUUCUUAUGACAUCAUUAUGACAAUUAUUAAGAAUUUGUUGUGGCUAAGAACGGUCAACCACUAAUAAGAAUUUGAGAACAUGGGUUCACUACAGGUUCAGUGUCAAGAACUAUGAAGUCGUCAUGAAAGUAGAAUUUAUCUACCUUGACAAGAACAUCCUCUAUAAUCCCUCUAAAAAUGUUGACAGAUUUAUCUAGGGAUGGCAAUGGGGAGGGGAGGGGAGGGGACCAAUCUCCCCGUACCCAUCCCCGAUAUUUUACGUAUGUCCCCGUCCCCUCCCCAUCCCCUCCCCGAAUAAUAACAGGGGAUCCCCGAGGGUCUCCGAUCCCCGAAUAACUAAUACAUUUUUUUGUUUUCAAUUUUGAGUUAAUCAUAUUAAAAUAAAAAAUUCAAAUAAAAGUAAAGUUUGAAAUAUAUCUUACAUUAAUAUCCAUUACAAAAGUCACAUACAUGAAAUUAGUAAGUAACGAUGCAUGCAAGGGAUACAAACUAUCAUGAACAAAUUAAUAGCCUAAUACAAAAUUGUUACAAAUAAAAUCAAUUUUAGAUUCAAAAUUAACUUUUCAAUGGUGGCGUUGGCACUUUAUAAAUGUGGACUAUUCCCUUUACAACACAAUAGUUAAGUCGAAGCAAAUCAAGAGUAAAUAUUAGAUUAGAUUAGAUAUUAAAAUUAUGAUUUGCUGUGGGCAAUUAUAACAUCUAAAAAUAAAUAAAAAAUAGAUUUAAGUUUAAAAGAUUUAAUGAAUAUUAAAAUUAAAACAAAAGUUUUGGGCUAAUAGAAUCUGUCCGGUCUUUUUAAUGUCCUAAAUAAAAAUUUAGGACUUUAAUUAGUUAAUUAGGCCUAAAAGUUUAAUAAUAUAAAUAUUUUGAUAUUUCUAUUUUUACCAAUACUUAUAAUUUUAUAAUUCAAAUUUUAUUAUUUAUUUACUAGUAAUUUUAAAAAAUAAAAAUUAAAUUAAAAAUUAAAAUGGGGAAAUGGGUAAGGGAUGGGGAUUCCACCUCAUCCCCGUCCCCUCCCCGAAUAAGAAAUUGGAUAAAAAAAUUUCCCCUCCCCUUCCCCGAAUAAGAAAUUGGGUAUGAAAUUAUCCUCAUACCCUCCCCGAAUAGGGAAAAUCCCCGAGGGUACCCAUCCCCGUGGGGAUUUUUGCCAUCCCUAGAUUUAUCUACUGAUUAGAGUGAUACAUGAGCGGGUUUCAAGUCUUUAAAUCCUAAUUUCUCAUAGAUAGAGUAUGGCAACAAGUUAACAAUGGCACUUAAAUCAAGUAAAGCUCUAUCAAAUGCAUGGUCUCUAAUAACACAAGAAAUUGAGAUAAACUAGGGUAUUUAUACUUAGUAGGAAUUUUGUUCAGGAGAAUGCUAUUAACCUUUUUAGUUAGGAAUGCCUUUUAUGGGACAUUGUUUUUCCUUUUUACUAUACAAAGAUCUUUUAAGAACUUAGCAUAAGCUGAUAAUCGUUGAAUAACAUCAAGCAAAGGGAUGUUUAUACGAACUUGCUUAAACAUUUCUAGAAUAUCAUUAUAAUGAGUAUCUUUCUCUUAUAGGACAAGUCUUUAUGGGUAAGGAGCUUUGAGAACAUAAGGCUUUGAUUGAAUUCCAUUCUCAUUAGGUUUACUAGGUAAUUGCUUUUCAAUUGAAGUUGGUUGACUUUCUUUCCAAUGCUCAAGAACUUUUAAAUAAUUAUCAAUUGUUUUUCCAAACCUAAGGGUAGUUAUAGAUUUGGCUUUCUUAUUAGGCAUAUUAGAAAUGGAUGAUGAUCUUAUUUCAAAUUGACUUUUAGGGUUAGGAAUUGGUUAACUAAGUAGUUUUUCUUUUUCCCUCUCAGCUACAGUAGUUGCUAAUGGACCCAAUUGAUUUUAAGCUUUAAAAUAACUUUAGUGUUUCAAUGUAAGGCUUAUUGGGUUGACUGAAUGAAAUUUUGAAGUGUAUCUCUAAAAAAUGUAUUCUUUGUGAAAUUCUAUUUAUGCAACUCAAGAGAGGAGAUGAAUUGGGUAACUAAAAAUUAUUCAAUUCUAAAACAAAACUCAAUGCAAAUCUAAAAUGAAUUUAAAGAAAUAACAGAUAAAUCAAUCACAAAAUAAAAAGAUAAGGGAAGAGAGAUUCAAACACGGAGAUUUUUACGUGGUUCGGCCAAACUCGCCUACGUCCACGCCUCCAAGCUUUCCAAGCUUGAGGAUUUCACUAAACAAGCCUCAAAGGCUUCAAAUGCUUACAAUUGACUUCCAAUGUGUAAAUGAACCUUUACAACAAGAGAUUGUCCUCAAUUUCUUAACCCAAGUGUAUCACAACACUUAUAAUCACUCAAAACAAAAAUUAUAAAUUUGUUCUGCACUCACAUAAUACUUAAGAUUACAAAUCAAUGCCCAAUGUGUGACUAAAUGAAGCAAAAAUGUGUUUAAAGUUUUAUGAAGGUUGUAUUCUCUAUUAUGAGUUCAAUGAUAGUGUUGUGAUCAACCUUUGUUUGAAUUUGAAUGAGUUUAUUUAUACUUGGAGCUGAAAAAUAGUUGUUACUGAUUGUCUGCUCGUAAACGGAUCGCUGUUAACCAUUAACGGUUAACCGUUUGGACUGGUCAAAGUUACCGUUGAGCCAAAUUUCAAAUAAACGGUUGACCGUUUAUCACUACCGUUUCACCGUUAAUUUUCAGAGACCUGCAAAACAAAUUUCUACUAUCCGUUCUUACUAAACGGUUAAAUAUUAGUAAGGAAAGACAUUCUAGAAUUUAUCGGUUAGCCGUUUGAAGUUAACGGUUCGCCAGUUAUUUCUAGUAACCUGCAAAACGAAAUAGCCUAAUCUGUUUCUGUUAAACAGUGAAAGAUUAGUACAAGCUUCCAUCCUGGAGUUUAUCGGUUAACUGUUUUCUAUAAAUGAUUCACCGUUUAAUUCUAGUAACCUUCCUAGCAUAUUUGUGUUUUCCAUUUUUGCUAUCCGGUUAGAGCUUAAGCAAUUGACCCUCUCUGGAUUUUAUCGAUUAACCGUUUACUUCCAGAAUCACAGUUUUAGCCAAAUAUUGCACGAAAUCAUUUUCCAUGUUGAAAUUUAAUAACUAUCCAUCUUUCAUGAAUGUAAUUGGAAUGAUUAUAUGGCUUUUGUUUAUUAAUGAAUAGCUCUAACAUUUUAAUAAAAAACAUUUAAAGUUUGUUAUCAUCAAAAUUAAUAUUAUGAAUAUAUACAUGUUAACACUUUGUUAGAGUGCAGUAAAUUGUUGAACAAGAGGAUAUGCUAGGUUAUAAGGGACAAAUUCUUUAUCGGGCAUGCUAAAUUGUUGUCCUCCUCUGUUUGAUAUAGUUUGAUUUUGUUUUUAGAAAAAAAUUAGGGUGAUUCCCUAAUUAGAAUUAUAUGUGGGUAAAUAUGGACUAUUAGAGGAUUUGUCAUAUAAUUGUAAUGCAUGUACUAGCUCAGAAUAAGCCUUUUGAUAGGCUGGUAAUGAAGGACAAUUCUAUGUCAUAUGAGAUAAGUUGGAACAAAUAGCACAAAUUUCAUUAGCUACACUAGGAUGAUGAUUCAUUGAUUGGUUUAUAGUUAAGACUUCGACUUUCUUGGAAAGAUUAGCUAGAGUGGCUUUCACAUCAAACUCAUUAUUAACUUCAUGUAGACCAUUGUCAUGACCCAACCUAGGCCUGGUAAGAUAUUGUCCGCUUUGGGCCUUAAUAAGGCCCGCACGGUUUUGUUCUUGGGGCGCCCAUACACCCCAAAAUGUGUCUUGCCAAUUAAGGUGUGAAUCGCCCCUUAUAAACUCAGCAUCUCUCUCGUGCUUUGUCGAUGUGAGAUUCGCCUAGAAUGUUACAACCAUUAAGUUUUGGACUGAUUUUUCUCUUUAAUUUAAAAUAUCUCAUUGUUAAGAAUUCUUAAAAAGUGAACUGAAGAAAUCCUAAGCAGCCAUUUCAUAUAGGUUCAAAAUCUUGCCACCAUUCAUAAACUCUACCAUACAACAAUUUGAUAUCCAUUAUAAAAGUACUCUACUAGUUUACAUUUCUUAAAACCAUUGUAGGGACACUUAAGGAGUGGUUAUUAAAUCUUUCCCAACACUUAUAAAAUUGUUCACUUUCUCUUUGAUAAAAAUCACUUAUCUCUCUCUCAAGGGCAUUUGUUUUAGAUAUAGGGAAAACCUUAGCGAGAAAUUUAUUGCUCAAUCAUCCCAUGUAGUAAUAGAGCCAGUGGAAAGUGAAUUCAACCAAUUUUUUGCUUUGUCUUUUAAUAAAAAAGGGAACAUAUGAAUCUUAAUUGAAUCAUCGUUAAAAUUUUGGAAUGAAAUGUAGAGCAUAGUACUCAAAUCGUCCAAUUUUAAUUGUUCUCUUUCUCUUUUAAACCCUUCAAUACUUAAAAUAAAAACUCAAAAUCUUCAUUUACAAUUCUCUUUUCUAGUACAAUCUUCUGACGGGCAACUAAUUUUUACAACUCUCUGCAUUCAUCGUUGAUUGUUGUUUCAUUAUCCUUGAGAAUUUUAAUUUAUUAAGUAUUUAGUAUCAUUCUUUUUAGAUUAAUAUAAUUAAUUGCAAAUAUUUUUUAUGUGUACCGCAGUGCUAGAGUAUGAAAAGGAAAUUUGAAUUUCACUAUAUAUUUUUUUAAAAAAGGAAAUUAAUAGCCUUAACAUAUGCAUUACAUCAAGAUAAAUAUAGAAGCUAAAUAUACUAACAAAAGCAAAACAUACAUUUAAUUCCUCUCAUAAACACCGUACUAAUUAAUUAAAGUUGUGUGAUAAACGAAACAAACUUAUUGAUCAACUCUACAGCUUUUUCACAUUUAAGGUUGUCGAAAUAGAAGCUAUGCCCUUCGCCGUGAGUCUCAACAAGCUCCACCGUUCCUUUCCACCCACUUUUCUUCAAGUCUUCGUAGUAAUUCAUAGCUACAGGUUUCAAAAAAUCUUUCUCAGCCACAAAUAUCAAAACCCUCUCACACCCAAGCCUGGCCAGAUCCUCUGCGGGUGGUUUCAGCCGAGGAUCCUGCAACCCUCCGUUUGUUGGACACAUGUACAACCACAGCUCAUCUUCUUCAGGACUAGUGCCACCGAAAAAUGGAUGCACCAUGAUCACCCCAACCACCUUUACACAUGGUAA